GCUCCAGUGGCGAAAAUCGGUUAGCGCGCGGUACUUAUAUGGCAGUAACUGUUGGGCAAUGCCGAGGUUGUGAGUUCAAGCCUCACCUGGAGCA
rnacentral:tRNA from 1 species